rnacentral:lncRNA from 1 species
GUGUGCUUGUGGUGUCUGUUUUCCCAUGGUAUGUGAAAGCCACAAGUGUGUUGGUUGUGGGCAUCCUUGUGGGAUAUGUUCUCGGUCUUAUAACUCGUUGCAAGAGGGAUUCAGUAGAACGUUCUCAAUGGACUCCUGUGAAGAGCGAAGAGAUGUGAAGUCUUAGAAUGAAGAAUUAGUAGAACUCUGCAGCAUCAAAAACAUUGAAAGGUUUGAUUUGUGUUACUCACCUGGAUCAAUAGAGAAUUCAUAAUUGCUUGUCGAGGUAAAUUAUGUGAAGCUGGAGUUUCUGUACAACCGCCCCC